GGUCAAGGUGGUGUUAGCUGGGAAGCCUAUGGCAGCAUUUCCAUUGGUCUGUUGUUCUUCAGUGCUGUAAGAGUUCCCCCCACCAGCUCCCUGUGGCCGCAGCAGGUUGUUUCCUGGAGCUUCCUCUCGUUCCAUCCUCGGUUUCAAAAUCCUUUUCGUGGGCACCAGCCUCUAAACACACACCAGAACACUUGCCUGGAACUUGGAAAACUUCAUUUCCGGCUUCUUUGGUGUCAAAGUGGGUUUGACUCCAGCAUUAUUCUGGUUCACUGGAUAGCAGAGCACUGUGGUCACCCCUGCGGGAGGAACACCUCUCUGCCCUUCACCACUCUUCUUUGUCCUGCGUCUCAUCAGAGGGGUCAAAAAUUCAGUAGGGAAGAGGAGCGCUCGCUAUACCAAUGCCAACGGUAUAAGUGCAGUCGGCGGUGAGGACAGAGUGCUGGCUGGGCAGCCCAGUGAUGAGUGCCUUAGGAGAAGACCAGACGCAUGAUUCAUCAGCUAGCAAAAUGUCAG
rnacentral:lncRNA from 1 species